GUGCCAGCAGCCGCGGUAAAACGUAGGAUCCGAGCGUUAUCCGAAUUCACUGGGCGUAAAGCGCGUGCAGGCGGCUCUGUAAGUUGGAUGUAAAAUCUCCCGGCUCAACUGGGAGGGGACGUUCAAUACUGCGGGGCUUGAGGACGGUAGAGGGAGGUGGAAUUCCCGGUGUAGUGGUGAAAUGCGUAGAUAUCGGGAGGAACACCAGUGGCGAAGGCGGCCUCCUGGACCGUACCUGACGCUCAGACGCGAAAGCUAGGGGAGCGAACGGGAUUAGAUACCCCCGUAGUCC
rnacentral:rRNA from 1 species